AUGGAUUUUAGACUCGAGGAGCUUGAAAAAGCUACAGAAAAUUUUGCGGAGAAGCAAAGAGUUGGCAGUGGUGGGUAUGGAGAUGUUUACAAGGGAGUGCAUAAUGGCAAAGAGAUUGCAGUGAAGAAGCUUCGUCCCUUGCUAGGACUUGAUGAUAAGGAUUAUAAGAACGAAUUCCGUAACCUUAGCAAGGUCCAUCAUGAAAAUAUAGUACAGUUAAUUGGCUACUGCUACCAAUCAAGGAAUAAUUUUAUUGAGUACAACGGAGAACUAAACAUGGCUACAAAUAAGGAGCGAAUUCUCUGCUUUGACUAUAUGCAGGGUGGAAGCCUUGAAAACCAUAUUAAAGAUGACAUGUGUGACCUUGAAUGGCCCAUAUGUUACAAAAUUAUAAAUGGGACUUGUCUGGGUUUAAAUCACCUUCAUAGUGCAUAUGAUAAACCUAUUUACCAUAUGGACUUAAAACCUGCAAACAUAUUACUAGAUGAGAACAUGAUGGCUAAAAUUGCAGAUCUUGGUUUAUCAAGACUUGUUAAUUCAACAAAAACUCACAAAACAAUGGUAGCCAGCUUCAGAGGAACAUUUGGGUACAUGCCGCCUGAAUACAUAGAUGAAUACACUAUAUCGAAGAAGUUUGAUGUAUACAGUUUGGGAGCUAUCAUUAUAAGAAUAAUGGAUGGAGAAAAUGGACACUCUUCAUUUUUCGACAUGGGUGCCGGAAAGUUCAUUGAAAAUGUUAUUGGAAACUGGGAUAGAAGGCUACUAGGAACUUCGACGUCAAGUUAUUGA
rnacentral:rRNA from 1 species